GUCUAUGGCCAUGUCGCCCUGAAUGUGUUCGAUCUCAUCUGAUCUUGGAAGCUAAGUAGGAUCAGGCCCGGUUAGUACUUGGAUGGGAGACCACCUAGGGAUACCAGGUUCUGUAGGCA
rnacentral:rRNA from 1 species